UGUAAUUUAAAAAUUGUGGUUGUUCAAUCUUGACAUGUACUUUUUUUUUUAUCCCAUCAUUCAACUUUGUGUUUCCUUCACACAAAGUUUAAACCCACAACUAAUGAUUUGUUAUCUACCUAUUUCACCUGAAUAUCAUCAUCAAUGCUGCACAAUUCCUAGGAAAACCUCUCUUGUUUUAGGAUUUCUUUAUCAGACAUUACUGGAGCUUUGUGAAUCUGUUUACCCUGACAGUGCCUGCAGCAGGAAUGUUUUCUUCUUUCAAGACUUGAAACGAUUUAUAAUUAGAAAAAAAUUAUCAAAGAAUAAUUUAUGGCCUGUUACUGUUUAAUUUUUAUUUCUUCUGGCCCUCAGCUGCAUUUAAGAAAUAUUAUGUAUCUCUUAUAUAAGCAUGUGAUUUAAGCUAUCCCUGUUAGGAUGAUUUAAAAAUAAACAUUCUGCU
rnacentral:lncRNA from 1 species